UGACCGACUGGGGUUAUAGGACAGCAACACUGUACAACAGAGACUAGAUGAAGUGUUUGGAAUGACACGCCAAAGAGAGUGAAAGCCUCGUAAUUAAAAAUCAAAGUUGGCAAGCUGAAUCCUGAGUAGCACGGUACACGAGAAAUUCCGUGUGAAUUCGCGAGGACCACCUCGUAAGGCUAAAUACUCACUUGUGACCGAUAGUGAACCAGUACCGCGAGGGAAAGGUGAAAAGAACCCCGGAAGGGGAGUGAAAUAGAACAUGAAACCGUGAGCUUACAAGCAAUGGGAGGACGAUUUAACGUCUGACCGUGUGCCUGUUGAAGAAUGAGCCGGCGACUUAUAGGCAGCGGCAGGUUAAGGGGAAAAUCCCGAA
rnacentral:rRNA from 1 species